GGACUACUGGGGUAUCUAAUCCUGUUCGCUCCCCACGCUUUCGCGCCUCAGUGUCAGUAACGUCCCAGCGAGCUGCCUUCGCUAUUGGUGUUCCUCCUGAUAUCUGCGCAUUCCACCGCUACACCAGGAAUUCCACUCGCCUCUUCCGUACUCUAGCCUCACAGUAUCCACCGGCUUUCAAAGGUUGAGCCUUUGACUUUCACAGCGGACUUAUGAGGCCACCUACGCGCGCUUUACGCCCAAUGAUUCCGGACAACGCUUGCUCCCUACGUAUUACCGCGGCUGCUGGCAC
rnacentral:rRNA from 1 species